rnacentral:rRNA from 1 species
UUUUAAAUUGAGAGUUUGAUCCUGGCUCAGGACGAACGCUGGCGGCGUGCUUAACACAUGCAAGUCGAGCGAUGAAGCUUCCUUCGGGAAGUGGAUUAGCGGCGG